CAAACACACACUCACUCAGUUGUAUUUUCACUUUCACACAACGCGCCGCCUUCCUCUUUCACCUGCGAGCUUCCCCAAACCCUCUCCAACCCUUGUUUCUCUUCACUUUCUCGCUCUCUCUUUUCUUCAUCAAUGGAUAUCGAGGAGGACAUUCGUUCUUUACAGCUUGAUUCUGCGGAAGAAACUAAUGGAUCAGUAACGCCAGAGGAUGUGAAGCCAGAAGAAGUUGAUAAAUCUGAACAUAUGGAUGAAGAUCCAAAACCAGAAGUUCAAGCAGAACCUAUCGAUGUUGAACCAAAAGCAAAAGAGAAAGAAAUUCCUCCUACACAGGACGAAGAUGAUGAGGCGGAGAUGAUGAAAAAAAGGCACUUAAAUGUUGUGUUUAUUGGUCAUGUAGAUGCUGGUAAGUCAACAACAGGAGGUCAGAUAUUGUUUCUAAGUGGCCAGGUUGAUGAAAGAACUAUCCAAAAAUAUGAGAAAGAAGCUAAAGACAAAAGUAGAGAAAGCUGGUAUAUGGCUUAUAUUAUGGACACAAACGAGGAGGAGAGAGUAAAGGGAAAGACAGUUGAAGUUGGAAGAGCACAUUUUGAAACAGAGACAACAAGGUUUACAAUUUUGGAUGCACCUGGUCACAAAAGUUAUGUACCUAACAUGAUCAGUGGUGCAUCUCAGGCUGAUAUUGGAGUGUUGGUAAUUUCAGCUCGAAAGGGAGAAUUUGAAACAGGAUACGAGAGAGGUGGACAAACUCGUGAACAUGUCCAGCUCGCAAAAACGCUGGGGGUGGCUAAAUUGCUUGUUGUUGUCAAUAAAAUGGAUGAGCCGACCGUGGAAUGGUCGAAAGAAAGGUAUGAUGAAAUUGAGUCCAAAAUGACACCAUUUCUAAGACAAUCAGGAUACAAUGUGAAAAAAGAUGUCAUUUUUCUACCAAUAUCUGGGUUGGUCGGUACAAAUAUGAAGACAAGAGUGGAUAAAAAAAUCUGCCCAUGGUGGAAUGGCCCAUGCUUAUUUGAAGCACUUGACGCUGUUGAAGUUCCUGAGCGAGACCCCAAAGGCCCCUUUAGGAUGCCUAUAAUUGACAAAUUCAAAGACAUGGGAACUGUUGUUAUGGGAAAAGUGGAAUCUGGUACCGUUCGUGAGGGAGAUUCCUUGUUGGUUAUGCCAAAUAAGGCUCAAGUAAAAGUUGUUGCUAUAUUUAUUGAUGAGGAUAAGGUAAAACGUGCUGGACCUGGUGAAAAUUUAAGGAUUAGAUUAUCUGGUGUUGAAGAAGACGACAUAUCAAGUGGGUUUGUCCUAUCAAGUGUUGCAAAUUCAAUACCAGCUGUUACCGAGUUUGUUGCUCAAUUGGCAAUCCUUGAAUUGCUGGACAAUGCUAUUUUUACUGCGGGGUAUAAGGCUGUUUUGCAUAUCCACUCUGUUGUUGAAGAAUGUGAGAUUAUUGAGCUCUUACAUCAAAUUGAUCCAAAAACAAGGAAGCCUAUGAAAAAAAAGGUCCUCUUCGUGAAGAACGGGGCUAAUGUUGUGUGCCGAAUUCAGGUUAAUAGCAUGAUAUGCAUUGAGAAGUUCUCUGAUUUUCCACAGCUUGGGAGAUUUACUCUUCGCAGUGAAGGGAAAACUGUUGCAGUGGGGAAGGUUACUGCUCUGUAAGUUUGUGACAAUUUUGACUCGAGGUGUUGUGUUUCACUAUCGUGUGUGCGCGCCAAUUCUUUUGGAUCUUUGUCACUUUGUGUGAGCAGGACAUGAUUUAUGCAAAGACAAAUGCUGUGGCAGCAGUGAGGCAUCAAGUUUGAAAUAUAAUACUCAUUUGGGUAUUUCUUUUGAUUUAUUUGGAUACUGAGUUCUAGAAGAGUUAUAUGUUGGUGCUGUUUUGCUUGUGUAUUCUUCUUAUAUGGCCUUGCAAGGCCUUUUAGCUGCUUUGUUAUUUUGAAAUUGAUCCACCGAUUAGCUGUGGAAAUCUGAUAUUAUCAAUUCUCUAUGUUAUGACCUGUAUAUUUUAGAGACAUGUUUUUGAAAACAUUAUUGAGAUAUAGUUGUUUUUUCUUCA